rfam:Stagonospora sp. SRC1lsM3a unplaced genomic scaffold IQ06scaffold_17, whole genome shotgun sequence.
GUCUCAGUGGCGCAAUGGUAGCGCGUUGGACUUCUACUGCACAUUCUCAUCUGAAUCCAAAGGCUGCGGGUUCGAGCCCCGCCUGAGAUG